GGGCGUACGGAGGAUGCCUUGACACUAAGAGGCGAUGAAGGAGGUGGCGUGACUGCCUUAAGCUUCGGGGAGCCGUCUAGCGGGCUUUGAUCCGGAGAUUUCCGAAUGGGGAAACCCAGCACAGUAAACCUGUGUUAUCUCGCGCAAGCGAGAUGCGUACCCGGUGAAGUGAAACAUCUCAGUAACCGGAGGAAAAGAAAUAGAAUAGAUCCCCUUAGUAGCGGCGAGCGAAAAGGGAACAGCCUAAACCUGUUGUUGGUUAGCAAUAAUUAAUGACGGGGGUUAUAGGGACAGUACAUUUUUUAAAUCAUGUAACAUGAAACAUGUAACAAUAAUAUGUUGCGUGUCGCGUGUUAUAUGAUUUGAAAUAGAAAGUUACAAAUCCGAGUGUUAGCAGAACGGCCCUGGAACGGCCGACCAAAGAAGGUGAUAGUCCUGUAAGCGAAAACAAUCGGACUUUCGUAUUGUUACCUGAGUAGCCCGAGAUAAGAAUGUCUUGGGUGAAUUUGUCCAUACUACUGGAUAAGGCUAAAUACUCUUAGUGAUCGAUAGUGAACAAGUACCGUGAGGGAAAAUUCAAAACUUUAUAACUUUACAAACUUUAUAAACUUAUGACUUGCGCGCGGAGCGUGUGACCGUGUGCCUAUUGAAGAAUGACCCAACGAGUUUAUUUAAACUGCUAACUAUAAGUUCCUUUGGAACGAAUGGAUAGGGAAACCAAGUGUUAAAAGCGCGAAUUCCAACUCAAAUUUUUGGAAAGAAAAAGCAACCAUCAAGGUUGCUGUUAUGAUUGACACAGCUUGUUAUUGGGACCGGAAAAAUCUUUCAAGAUAUACUCCCGCGCCGAUUCCAACUAUAAGUUGCGACAAUACAUGGAAAUAAGAACAAUUAGAAAUGGGCAAGAGACCUAAAAUCAACAAAGAAAUACCAAAGAACAAAUUUCUAUUUUUCAUGCUAAUCUCCUAAUAAGAUAUUAGCAUUUAGCUUGUAUUUUGUCAAAUAAUCGUUAAUUUCUAAAAAUUUGAGUUGGAUAUGCAGUUUUGAUAAGACCCGAAGCCAGGCGAGCUAACCAUGCCCAGGGUGAAGCUCUUCGAAAGAAGAGUGGAGGCCCGAACUGGUUGAUAGCGCAAUAUCAUCGGAUGAGGUGUGGUUGGAAGUGAAAAGCUUAUCGAGCUUGGUAAUAGCUGGUUCUCCCCGAAAUGCCUUUGGGGGCAGCGUCGUAUAGUAAUAGAGGGGGUAGAGCACUGAAUGGUUCGCCGUGCCCUUAUGGGUAGGUUUACCAAACAAACUCCGAAUACCUCUGUGGAAUAUACGGCAGUGAGUACGCGAGGGCAAAGCUUCGUGUACGCGAGGGAAAGAGCCCAGAUCACCGCUUAAGGUCCCAAAAUGUAAACUAAGUGAAAAGGAAGUAUUUUGUCUUAGACAGGUAGGAGGUUGGCUUAGAAGCAGCCAUCCUUUAAAGAGUGCGUAACAGCUCACUACUCGAUGUUGCCGCAAGGCAAUAAGGCAAAGUGCGCCGAAAAUUUAACGGGGCUAAGUUUACUACCGAAAGCGUGGGUGCGCACAGCGCACAAGUUGAAAGUUAAAAGUUCGUCAAGUUCGUAAAGUAAAAAACUUUAUAACUUUAAAAACUUUAUAAACUUGUAACUUGCGCGCUGUGCGCGCGGUAGGGGAGCAUUUUCAACGCAGUGAAGCCUUUCUGUGAAGAUGGGUGGAGCGUUGAGAAGGGAGAAUGUUGGGAUGAGUAACCGCAAGUCCGGUGAAAGCCCGGACCGCCGAAAGCCUGAGGUUUCCUCCGCAAUGUCAAUCAACGGAGGGUUAGGCGUACCUAAGCGUAAGUCCCGCUAAGGCGGGGCGAUCGUAAUGGAUGGCCGGUUAAUAUUCCGGCCCUUCAGUCCUUUUCGAAGGAGUGACGGAGCGCAGUAGAGUAAGUGUGUUAUUGGAUUCAACAUUUGCAAUAUAAGAAUUGAGCGCAGGAAAAUCCACGCUCGGCCGCAAGGCAAAUUCAAGUAUUGUGAAAAUCAUCGCAAGAUGAAAUUUACUUGAGCGCGCUUCCAAGAAAAACUUCUAAGUCCGCCGAAAGGCGGAAGGAGGACUGAACACGUACCGCAAACCGACACAGGUAGGCAGGUCGAGAAGACCAAGGCGAACGGGUGAUUAUUGGCUAAGGAACUCGGCAAAAAAGCGGCCGUAACUUCGGAAUAAGGCCUUCCCUCACCAGUUUUGGCAUGUUAUAUAAUUUUCAUGUGAACUAUCUAUAUAAUUCAAAAUAAUCAGACUAUGGAAGUUUAUAUUGGUUUAACUUCCAAUUUAAAGAAAAAACUUGAAACCCAUAAUUGUGGUGGUAAAAAAUUUACUACUAGAAAAAUGGGAGAAUGGAUUUUGACUUAUGCUGAAGCAUAUAGAACAAAAUUAGAUGCCGUAAUUCGAGAGAAAAGAUUAAAAAAUCAUGGAAAUGCAAAAAUAGAAUUAUUCAAGCGAAUAAAUAAUAGUUUGCUUGAUGCCAAAACUGGUGAGGGACGCAGCUAAAGAACCCCUGGCGACUGUUUAUCAAAAACACAACUCCGUGCUAAGCCGAAAGGCGCUGUAUACGGGGUGACGCUUGUCCGGUGCUGGAACGUUAACGGUGAACGUGCGUGGCGCGUAGUUCAUAAAGUUAAAAGUUCAUCAAGUUCAUAAAGUAAAAAAAACUUUAUAACUUUACAAACUUUAUAAACUUUUUGACUUACGCGCUGCGUGCGGACGCCCGAAGCGCCAGUGAACGACGGCAGUAACUAUAACUGUCUAAAAGUAGGUAAUGCUGCUUUUAUAAAAUCUGACUAUUUGCUGGAAAAUCUGUGGAUAAAAUCCUUAAGAAUAUAGAGCUACUUAUGGUAUGAUAUUACCAUGAGUGAUAAAGCUUCUAUUGCAGACAAUCAGCAGGAAAGAUUA
rnacentral:ncRNA from 1 species